AUGAUCAGUGCAGCGGAUACUACAUUCUUCCUAAUAGUAGGGACAUACAGAACACUCUUCAAAGUCAACACCUUGUCGAGUGUCAUUUUCCACAUUAGUUUUCCAGUUCCCGCAAUCCUUGUUGUUGUUGUGUUUCCCAUGAAUAAAUCUUCAUUGAACUCAACAGGAGUGUACGUUGCAAAGGCUUCUUUUGCAAAGCAAAUGUGUCGAGUGGCACCUGAGUAUUCAUGGGCUCGUCAUUUAAGCCCUUUUGAGUCUUUAUUUAGGUCAAAAAGGGAGGGAAUUAAUUUUUCAGAAAGAGAAGAGGGAGAAACCCUUCCCCCCUCUCCAAGCCGCCUCCUUCUUCUCCCCUCUCCAUCUCCUCUUCUCUCUUCCUCCCAAACCCUUCCUCCUCUCCCUCUUUUCCGUCAGCCCCUCUCACCCUUUCCCUCCCUCUUUCCCGUUUCUCCCCCUUCCUCUUCCUCUCCUCUCUUCUAUCUCCUCCAUUCUCUCUUUUUCCGGCAAAGCAGCGACAACAACCCAGCAGCAGCUGAGACAGCCUACAACAACAGCUCCAACAGCCGGCGAGCCAAGCAGCGCCGCCCUCUCCCUCUUCUCCGGCAAAGCAGCGACAGCAACCGGCAAAAGCUCCGGCUGAAGCAGCAACAACAAACGACGGAAAUAGCAGCGCCACCACUCGCAUACUUAUCCGGUGAAGACACCAUCAGCGUCAGCAGCUCCAGGAGGCGAGCACCACAGAUGAUAUCAACUCCGACCUUGUUAGAGAAAACAUUCAGAUCUGUCCAAAAGGGUUGGGUUCAAGAAAUGGCGAGUUUUGUGAAGUCAUUAGAUAACAAAUUGGAAGUUGAAAUUGAAGGAUUUUAUGGUGAUUCAAUUCCUGAAAGGAAAUCAGUGAAUCCUGGUUAUCAAGUUCGAACAAAUUUCUUUAGUAACCAGCUUAUCAAUGAAAUUGAUUUUUGCUACAAUCCGUUCAUACAUUGACCAAUGGGUAUCUGAACAAAGUGAUGAAGCACAAUUGGUGUGGAUGGAGAAGUGGAUAACAAGUCAUUGGGAAGAUGCAAGAAAUAUAUUGAAGAAACCUUUAGUGCUUGCUGAAUUUGGAAAGUCUAGUAGAUCAGGUGAAGGAUCAAGAGAUAUAUUUAUGAGUAGUGUGUAUAGAAAUGUGUAUAAUUUGGCAAAAGAAGGUGGAACAAUGGGAGGAAGUUUAGUAUGGCAACUAAUGGCACAUGGAAUGGAGAAUUAUGAUGAUGGUUAUUGAAGAAAUAGGCAUUACAUGACACAAGGGCAAAUUAGUCAUUACUGUUUAAUCAAGUUGGUUAAAGUUGUUAAGUGUAGUUAGUUAGAAAUUUGUUAGGAAGUUAGUUAGUAAAACAGUAUAUGUACUGCAUCAAGUUACAAUACAAUGUAUUCAGUUUGUAUUCUUCUUUUUUACAAAAUAAACUUCUUCUCUCUUUUCCUUCUUGUUGAA